CUCAAUUAUUGCAACAAAUUCCCUGAGAACUUUACUUUGUAGGUCUUAACCGGAAGCUAUUUCUUAACUCAGCCGUUUUACAGCUUCACCUUUACGUUGGCAAAAGGUGUAGCCUCCAGCCAGACACUAGUGUCGGCGUCAAUCUGCAAGUUACAUGUUAAACAGGAUGUGCAGUUUGACAGUAACUGAUAUGGCUUCAGCAUAAAAUAAAAUGUCUUAGUCAAUUUGUUGUAGUUUGUGUUAAGAGAAGUUGCUCUGACAUCAUAUUCUCUAAUUGACGUUGUACAUAGACCAGCUAAACCUGCACAACCGGCAUUGCACACACCUUAAAAUGUGGUAAAACUUGAUUUACCAUUGUGAUUAUUUCGGAAUGUGUGCUGUUGAGAACAUAUUCAUAACAUUGUAGGCUUGGAAGAAAUAAUUGUCACAGAGCAACGGAAACCAUUGCACCUACUGCAGUGUACAGGUGACAUGAAGGUGAUACUGAUUUGGCUCCCACUGGACAUGACUUAAUGUCUGACAUAAAAAAUAACUACAUAAUUUGUCUCAAUCCAGAGGGCUGACUUGGCAUGGACAGCAGCAGUCCUAAAUGUCACCCUAUAAUGAGUUCUGGCCAAAGGUACACAGUUCGGACGUUGCCCGCUGGCACCUGGGAUGCCCACUGGCUAGCUUUUUAGCCCACAGCCAUUUGGACAACCCCAGUUUUCUUUGUGAACACUGCCGUACACGAUUUGCAUCCAAACAAAAAGUUUCAGUAUUGUGAAGUUUCAUCUUGCCCUGGCGAUGGAGUCAUACAGAACAGACUACAACAGAAUAAAUUUAGUUUCCUAGCACUAAAAUAAAGCAAAAUAAUGCACAAUAUCAUGGUAAAAUACAAUUGACAAGAGUGAAUAGAAAUAUGCAGGUGUCAUAAAACCCCUCAAAACUCCUAAUAAAA